CAGGUACGCAGGUACGUCCCCCAGCCUCAGCCUGCAGCCCCAUCCCUGUCCCCUGAGACCGUCACUGAGACCCUGGUCCCCUCCUGUACUGCUGGUCUCUGCUGGUGUCCAGAGCCCGUCCCCACACAUUUUUGAAGUUCAGGAAAGGAGAGUCAGCUGUCAGAGGUGAGCGUGCAGAUGGCACAAAAGGGGCUCCGCCCUUCCAUCCCCUCGGCUGGGGAGGGGGAAGCCGGGCUCCUGCACCCCACCGCAGCUGUCUCCCAUCCCGAGCACCUACGUUUCAAAUUGAUCCCGGUUUCCUGAAAUCUUGGCUCUGAAGUUGUCGAGGAGGCUUUGGAGAGGCUUUAAAUACAAGCACAUUAACUCCUCUAUUUCAACUCCCUCAUCAUGAGCCAUGGCAGCUCAAAAAUGCCGUCUACGAUGUCACGUCACAAAGGCUUGGAAAAUUAUCCGUCAGCCCCAUUGUCUGCCUGUUUUCUUUUAUUCCUUCUCUACUCAUCAUGCUCGUUGGCAGCCAUGAAUGAAAUGUAACAUGCUAAAUGACUGACAUCCAUUAAGCCUCCUCGACAAACCUCGGCCGUGUUUUGAAAGGCCCCUGGAAGAAAAAGGAUUGUGUGCUCUUUGAAUCCUGGCCUGCUGAAUGGCUGCCAAGCGAGGACUGCUCCAUUCAAAGGGCUGCGUGAAUAAAUGAGAAUAACAUCCUUGGGGACCCAGCGGAUCAGCUUUCUCUGAAAAUGCUCAGCUUCACAAAGGGUCAGAGUCACAAGAAAAGAAGCGAAGCUCUUCACUUUUGGGAAACUGUUGGAAGGACACACGUGCUGGAACUGAAUGAAGCGCCAAGGGAGAGGAGAACUUUCCUUCAGUCAUAGAGUUCAAGGCAGCAUCCACAGAUGGAUGAAAGUGGACAGAAGAGAUCCUGUCUUCUUUGGCCUUUCAAAAAACAACAAACAGAACAAAACAAAGCAACACAACUCCUGAAUGCAAGACCCUUUCCCAGAAAUACCCCGGAUGAUUUUUGAAAUUGGAACAUAUCACUCUGACAUUUGGAUAUAUCUUACAAAUGAUUGCAAUUACUAUGCUCAUUUAUGAAUAUUAGGGAAUAAGAACAGUAUAAAAAUUUCUAAUCAAAAUGAGAAUUCUUAAAAGGCUUACCAAGGAAAACAUGGCUUUCUUGUUUUUGAACACAUUUUAGGGUUGACAUGGAGAGAAUGGCUUGGCAUUAUUCCCCUGUAGGAAAUAUAAAUAAUUUCUAAAGUUUGUUUAGCAUUUACAUAUUCUUUAAAAUGCUAGAGUGAGCGCUUAAUCUCGUUCUUUCUUAUACUCACUGAGCCAGGUGGGUACUACUAAUAUCACCCCAUUUUAUAGAUGAGAAAUGUGAGGUGCAGAGAGGUCACAUCAUUAUUCCACUGCAUUCUCCUGAUGAAUUUCACAAAAGGCUAACUCUGGAAACUCAAGAGGCUUGAUGAAUGCCUGCCUCCCAAGCCAUUGGGAUGUCCCCAUUCAUUUUAUCCAGAACUUGGACAAAAAUCUCAGGGCAUAAUGUUUUGAGGCUAUCUUGAAAAUUAUGAUCACUGGUGGUUUUCUUUUAAAAUCCCUCUUAUACUAGUACUUAAAGAUCGAGUAUAUGUACUUUCAAAUUUCCCUAAUUUAGCAUCCAUUCAAGUUGUUCCUGAGUUUGGUGCUUCUCAGACUUCAAGGAGCCUAAGAAUAGCCAAGGAUCUUGUUACAUGUGGGUUAUGAUUUGAAAGGUGUGGGAAGGUACUCAAAAGCUCAGGUGAUGCCAGCACUGCUGGUUUCAGGACCACAGACUAGAAAGUGUCAAAUGGCCAUUUACACGGUGACAGAGACGGGCGAUGUGCCAGGCCAGCUCCAGGUAGCCGUGAAAGUCAAUUCUCAAAUUUUCAGGAAUCUCAAGAGGUGGUUGUUAAGCACAGUCACAAUUAACAGCUAAAAUUAUAUGAAUUUGCAAUGAAAUAAACUGUAUUAAAAGUAAGGCAAAAAAAAAAAAUAAAAGUAAGGCAAUAAGUUCCCAAAG
rnacentral:lncRNA from 1 species